CCGUGCUAGGCGGGGAGCCAGCGGUGCCCUGUACUCGCAAUCCGCUUCAGCGAGGCUGAAUCCCUGCCCGCGGACUUCGGUCGAACGGAAGCCGCCGCAGCGAGGGUGUUGAAGGUCAGGUCCUGCGCGACGUCAGCUCGUGAACCCGGUCAGGUCCGGAAGGAAGCAGCCGUAAGCGAUCACUGGCGGGUGUUGCGGGAGUGCCGGGCCGGAGCCCGGCGCGCGGUGGGCACGUGUGAUCGUCGGACAACGGCAGGUGCACGG
rnacentral:SRP_RNA from 1 species